rnacentral:lncRNA from 1 species
CUCGUGAUCCGCCUGCCUCGGCCUCCCAAAGUCCUGGGAUUACAGGCAUGAGCCACCGCGCCUGGCCGAGUUAAAGUAACUUUCCAAAGAUGCAUGAUUUCCAUGUAAAAAGAAGCGAAUAAUGAUGGGACCACUAUGAAGAAAGCUUCUGAGGACAAAGGCAGCUGGGGAGAUCCCAAGAGGAGACCAAAUAAGGAAAAAUGCAGUUGGCUAGAGAAAUCGAACACCAAAUUUCUAGAAAUACUUCUGAGAUGAGUAAGACCAAUCUCCAGCUUAUGUGGGAAGAUACUACCAUAAAGAAAUUAAGAAUCUGAACCUGGGCUGGACGCGGU